rnacentral:lncRNA from 1 species
CUUCAGAUUGCUGUGGGACAGAGAUCAGGUGAGUAAUGGCCAGGGUUCUGGUCUGGUUUGGGAACUUGUUUUCAGUGUUUUUGUUGUAUUUUUAAAAGCAAUAGAUAGAAGCAAAAGAUUAAUGUGGCCCAAUAAUGUGUAUGAUAUAUAACCUUAUAUUGAUUAACUGAUAAUAUAUAGCAGUGAUAUUUAUUAAUGAAAGGUAUAAUCUAUCUCGAUGUUAAUUAGAAGUAGGGGUAUUGAAGUGUCUUUCUUUGUUUUUUUUACUAAUCAUGUAUUAUUUUCAAUGAAUGAGGAUUUAAUCGAAAUAAAUAGAUAAAUGAAUGAACUAAAACUGGGUCUCAGAUGUACCAAUGAUGAUUAGCAGGUGAGUCAUGGACAACAAAUGAUAAAGGUCUGGGACCCUGAGGCCCAGUCCAUUCCUCACUCCAUUUCUUUAUUUUUUCCUGUAGGCAGAUGUUAGGAAUGUUUAAAGUUCAAGUUCUAAGACUGAGUUUUAAAAUUAUUAAUAGAUCAUUGAGAGUACCAUUAAUGAUACAGAUAAAAGAUGAAGAAGAACAGAUAUAUUAGUGUCUAACCGUGAACAUAGAUGGUGAGGAAAGAAAUAGUAAUAAAAAUUCCCAAUUCUAAUGACCAUUAAGAAUUAUGUCACCCUUUUGGCUAAGAUUCAGAUCAGCUCAGUUCACUCAGGCAUGUCUGACUCUUUGUGACCCUGUGGACUGCAGCGCCAGGCCUCCCUGCCCAUCACCAACUCC